CAUGGAGUCGCCCAGAUCCUUUCCCUGUGGACCAUCCCCUCAGCAGUGUUCGAUCCGCCCACCAGCAUCACCAACGGUCAGGAGAAGACGGUCAUUGAAGUGUCAAGUCCCCAAGCUGGCAUGGUGGUGGGUGUUGUGCUGGGUUCCCUCGGGGUUCUUUGCUUUGCUGUUGGGCUAAGUCAAAUGUUUGUCGGGUUCCUGAAGAUGCGUCGACGUGUUAUAAUCUGCGCAAGCUUCCCCAACCCAGCCAGUGUACCACAAGACAACAGGCACUGAAGAGGACGGGAGGAGGGAGCGAGCGGCUCCAUGCACCAUUCAACAGGACGGCAUUGUAUUCCUCCCACAGGAGUGACUACAGCGAAGCAAGCCCAGAAUAAAGCGUUGAGUAACCGUGAUGAUUCGGUACUACUAACACCAAACAAGUGAGGGAAGUGUUUGGAGUGAGCGUGCAAGAC